rnacentral:misc_RNA from 1 species
ACAAAAAACAUCGGGGCUCGUUGGCAGAGCAACCGAAGGGCAACGAAACAAAACACAGCCGAGGGGUUGUUUUUGGCAAACAAAACAAAAGUCGGAUCGACCUCGAACGCCGAGCGACCAGGUCGCUAGGCCGAGGGAUCCGGCGAACUCGCUGGGUUUUCUCAGCGCCUUGGGCCGUCGAAGCCUCCUCCUCCGAGGGGCUCCGUCGCCUUAAGUACAGACGAGCUCGACCGCGACCCCGGGCUUCCGGAACGGUGGGUCGCUUCAUUCAAAAAGCACUCGGCAUCGUCGGGAGGUUGGCCUCGACGUUAUAAGCACCCGAGUAUGUACUUUCUCACGUAUACCAACAGAUUUCUUACACAAAACCCGGGGGCGGAGUCGGGAGGCUCUGCUUUUUUCGGGGGUCGGCCGGCGUACCUCGUUGCGCGCCGCGACCGACCGAAUUGGCAUCUUACUUUUUUGA